GCUCUGGGGACUGGAGGAACUCAUAGGUCAGCUGUUGGAUGUGGAGCCUGGCUCAGGAGACUGGAGGAACUCAUAGGUCAGCUGUUGGAUGUGGAGCCUGGCUCUGGGGACUGGAGGAACUCAUAGGUCAGCUGUUGGAUGUGGAGCCUGGCUCAGGAGACUGGAGGAACUCAUAGGUCAGCUGUUGGAUGUGGAGCCUGGCUCUGGGGACUGGAGGAACUCAUAGGUCAGCUGUUGGCUGUGGAGCCUGGCUCUGGGGACUGGAGGAACUCAUAGGUCAGCUGUUGGAUGUGGAGCCUGGCUCUGGGGACUGGAGGAACUCAUAGGUCAGCUGUUGGAUGUGGAGCCUGGCUCUGGGGACUGGAGGAACUCAUAGGUUAGCUGUUGGCUGUGGAGCCUGGCUCUGGGGACUGGAGGAACUCAUAGGUCAGCUGUUGGAUGUGGAGCCUGGCUCUGGGGACUGGAGGAACUCAUAGGUCAGCUGUUGGAUGUGGAGCCUGGCUCUGGGGACUGGAGGAACUCAUAGGUUAGCUGUUGGAUGUGGAGCCUGGCUCUGGAGACUGGAGGAACUCAUAG
rnacentral:lncRNA from 1 species